UCACUAGUCAGCGCCGGGAGACGGGAGC
rnacentral:sRNA from 1 species